GAAACCUUAGUUACACUCGUAGAAUUAGUUCUACGGUAAAGGAUGCCAUGAAAAUGUUGGAGUAGAAAAGCAUGUCGGAUGGUAUCCCUAUAGAGGCUCGGAAGCUCUUGAAGUGGUUGUAGUAGUAUGGCAACAAAAAUUAUAAAUGUACAUUAAAUGUGGAAAGUAAGCACAUACAACAUUUUCAAAAUUAUAAAGACUUUUGAAACUUGUGGCAUCAAACAUGCCAUCACAUCUGUGUGGCUACAAAAGCAUAUCAUUUAAAGUAAAAUAGGAUGCCUAAAGUAAAUCGUUUCCAAAUAUAGAAAGAAAGGUGUUAUUUUUCAAAUAGACUAAAAUGAAAAUGAUAUCAGAUAAAAUGGAAUAAAGAGAGUAAGAACAAAGAAGAUUUUCAAAGUUUUGCAAACUGUCAUGGUAUCAAACUUAUGAGUCGUACAAGAAAAAAGCAAAGAUAAAGAGACAAUACGAAGGGUGACAGAUGGAUAGUUUUGAUAUUGGCUGUAGAUCCACAAGAAACUAAAUUUUUGCUAUAAAGAUAGAUGAAAACUUAUAGAGAAAGAAAGAAGGAUCUUCAAAUGGUAUUAGCAUCAAGAAAUAGUUUGUCAAUGGAUGCUUGAGAAGAAAGAAAUUCAUAUCAAAUAUAUAAUUUCAUAAAACACAUGUACAAAAGAGCAGUCACAAGUGAAGGAUCAAUAUAAGGAGAUAUUAAGGAGUUUGCCAUUACUGUAGGUGUAUACUAGGGACUUGGCUCAAAUCUAUACUUGUUACCUAAAUAGGGUGAGGUAACCAAUAAUAUGAACGAUAAGAUUCCACGGUGAAAUGCUAUUUUCAUAUGAGAUUGAGUCAACGGAAGAAACUGGUGAGAAACUCAACCAAAAGUUGGAAUUGUCGAGAAGCACUUUGAGGAGAAAGGUUCUUAGGACAACGAAAAGUAAGACAUAGGUGUAGGUUCUUUUCAUUUGGUACAAGGUUCUUAGGACCUAAGUUGCACGGACUCUUCACUUUCGUUGCCGCACCCGUCUCGGAUUCUCCAAAAAUACACUAGUUUUGGAGAAUCCAACACGCACAUGCUGACAUUUUUGAAGAGUCCGAGCAACAUAGCUUAGGACAACUAAAAGUAAGACAUAGGCGUAGGUUCUUUUCAUUGGUACAAGGUUCUUAGGACCUAAGUUGCACGGACGUCUUCGACUUUCGUUGCCGGCACCCGGUCUCGGAUUCUCCAAAAAUACACUACUUUUUGGAGAAUCCAACACGCACAUGCUGACAUUUUUUGAAGAGUCCGAGCAACAUAGCUUAGGACAACUAAAAGUAAGACAUAGGUGUAGGUUCUUUUCAUUUGGUAUACGGCUUGUAUACGGGGUUCUCCCAAUCAAGUUAUUUACUUUAUCAAAAAAAUCUAAAAGUAAUAUGCCGCAAGUUUAGCUCCCCAUAAGAAUAACAAAGGUAUAGUGAAAUUAAACAGGAUUAUGAUGCAUAUUUGUAUACAAUUCAAAUAUAUAAGCUCAGCCUUCCAAGAGAAUAGCAUGAUAGAAAAGAUGUAACACACGAAUUAGAAGAUGAUAGCUAAAACAGACAAGUGCUUACUUAG
rnacentral:lncRNA from 1 species